rnacentral:tRNA from 1 species
GCCUCAGUAGCUUAGUUUGUAAAGCGUUUGUCUAGCAUAUAAGAGUCGUGGGUUCGUAUCCCGCCUGAGCA